rnacentral:lncRNA from 1 species
CCAGCAUGGAUUAAGGGGGCGGUCAAAGCCUGGAUAUGCCCGUGGAAUGCUGUCUUAUUGAUUUUGGUACGAAGCGUGCGCUUCUGGCGUGCUUCGACAUCUGUCUGCUCCGGACACUGGCUGUGGGCUCCCCAUUCGACCCGUCUUUAAACACGGACCAAGGAUUUUGACAUGUGUCCAAGUCAACGGGCUAGUAAAUUCACAAGGGAUAAGGAAUCUGAUUGGUGGGAUCCUCUUGAGGGGUGCACCGCCGACCGACCUUGAUCUUCUGAGAAGGGUUCGAGUGUGAGCAUACCUGCUGGGACCCGAAAGAUGGUGAACUAUGCCUGAGCGGGGGAGAAGCCAAAGCAUACUCUAGUGGAGGACCGUUGUGAUACUGACGUGCAAAUCGUUCAUCUGACUUAGGUAUAGGGGCGAAAGACUAAUUGAACCAUCUAGUAGCUAGUUCCCUUCGAAGUUUCCCUCAAAAUAGCUAGAGAUCGGGUGCGAAUUUUAUCGGAUAAAGCCAAUGAUUUGAGGAUUCAUGGGGCAACACCCAGACCUAUUUUCAAACUUUAAAAUCAGAAGGAUGACAUGACUGCUUUGUUGAGCUGCACCACGGAAUCAAGAACUCCAAGUGGGCCAUUUUUGGUAAGCUGGACUGGCGAUGAGGGAUGAACCGAAAGCCGGCUUAUGGUUCCAAACUGCAUUCUAACCAAGAUCCAACAAAGGGUGUUGGUCAAUUAAGACAGCAGGAAAGUGGUCAUGGAUGUCAAAAUCUGCUAAGGAGUUUGUACCAACUCACCUGCCGAGUAAACUAGCCCCGAAAAUGGAUGAGCACUUAAGCACGCGACCUACACUUAGCCGUCAGGGUAAGUCCCAGAUCCCGAUGAGUUGGAGGGAAUGGCGGUCUCUACAAAACAUUGGGCAUGAGCCUGUGCGGAGCACCCGUUAGUGUAGAUCUUGGUGGUAGUAGAAAAUAUUCAAAUGAGAACUUUGAAGGUCUAAAAGGGGAAAGGUUCAAUGUGAACGGCACCAGCACAUAGGUUAGUCAAUCCUAUGGGUCGGGGGAACCCCGACAAAUAGCGCGUUUCGCGCGUACUCCGUAAGGAAAUAGGUUAAAAUUCCUGAACCGGAACGUGGAGGUUGACGACAACAUUAGGAAGUCGGCUAACGUUGGUGGGAGCUUCGGGAAGAGUUGUCUUUUCUGUUUAACAGCAUGCCCACCAUGGAAUAGGCUUGCCGGAGGUAGGGUCCAGCGGCUGGAAGAGCACCACACGUCACGUGGUGCCUGGUGCACUCCCGGCGAUCCUUGAAAAUCCAGAGGACCUAAUGCCGUCCACACUUGGUCAUACUCAUAACUGCAUCAGGUCUCCAAGGUGAACAACCUUUAGUUGAUGGAACAAUAUAGGCAAGGAAAGUCGGUAAAAUAGAUCCGUAACUUCGUGAAAGAUAUAUGCUCGGAGUGUUUGGCAUGGGGGUCCUAGUACCGAACCCACUGGCUGUCGAUGAACUGCAUGAGUUGAUCCCGCAGAAAUAUUGGGUCGGCGUGUGCCGGCCGGGGGACGGACUGGGAACGGUUCCUUCGGGGGCCUUCCCCGGGAGUCAAACAACCAACUCAGAACUGUUACAAACAAGGGGAAUUUGACUAUUUAUUUAAAACAAAGCAUUGCGAUGGUCCCAACGGAUGUUUACACAAUGUGAUUUUUGUCUAGUGCUCUGAAUGUCAAAGUGAAGAAAUUCAACCUUGCGGGGGUAAACGGUCGGAGUAACUACGACUCUCUUAAGGUAGCCAAAUGCCUCUUCAUCUAAUUAGUGAUGCAUAUGAAUGUAUUAAUAAGAUUCCCACUAUCCCUGUCUAAUAUACAGCGAAACCACAGCUAAGGGAACAUGUUUGGCAGAAUUAGCGGGGAAAGAAGACCCUUUUGAGCUUUAAUCUAGUCCGACUUUAUGAAAUGACUUGAGAGGUGUAGUAUAAGUGGGAGUCGAACGGCGAAAGUGAAAUACUACUACUUUUAACGUUAUUUUACUUUUUCCGUGAAUCAGAAAGGGGGACUACCCUCUUUUUGGACCCAAGUCUCGCUUUGCGGGUCGAUACGGGGGGAAGACAUUGUCAAUUGGGGAGUUUGGCUGGGUGGCACAUCUAUUAAAAGAUAAUGCAGGUGUCCUAAGAUGAGCUCAACGAAAAUAGAAAAAUCGUGUGGAUCAGAAGGACAAAAGCUUGUUUGAUUCUGAUUUCCUGUACGAAUACGAACCGUGAAUGUGUGGCCUAACGAUCUUUUAGACCUUCAGAGUUCUAAGCUAGAGGUGUCAGAAAAGUUACCAACAAGGAUAACUAGCUUGUGGCAGCCAAGCUAUAUAGCGAAAUUUAUUUUUGAUCUUUCGAUGUCGGCUCUUCCUAUCAUUGUGAAGAAAAAUUCACCAAGUGUUGGAUUGUUCACCCACAAAUAGGGAACGUGAGCUGUGUUUAGACCAUCAUGAUAGAGGUUAGUUUUACCCUACUGAUGACAGUGUCGCAAUAGUAAUUAAACCUAGUAAGAGAGGAACCGUUAAUUCGCAUAAUUUGUCAUCCCGCUUGGUUGAAAAGCCAGUGGCACGAAACUAGUGUGUGUUGGAUUAUGACUGAACGCCUCAAAGUCAGAAUCCAGGCAAGAAGCGACGCAUGCGCCCGCCGUCAGCUUGCCGACCCACAGUAUGGGCCUUUAGCCCCCAAGUGAACCAUUUGUUGGCUAAGUCACCGCGAUGGAAGCAUCGCGGUGACUUCCUUAAAGUACAAUGUCCAUCCAGUGGUGGGUAGUAUCCUCAGCAGAAGACAUAAAUACACGACGGGGUAUUGUAAGUGGAAGAGUAGCCUUGCUGCCACGAUCCACUGAGAUACAACCCUUUGUCACUUCGAUUCGUCCUCCCCCACCUUCCCCCUCCCCCAACCUCAAAUCCAAUUAUUUCUAACAUUUCAAAUGAGAGGUUUAUGUCAGGCUUGCAUACUUGGAAUGAAAAAAACCACUAACUAUUGAAAUAUAGGUUCCGAGAAUAACAUGGUCCAUGAAAUUUAGUACUUUACUGCUAUGUGUUGAACUUUACGUUCUAUGCUGAUCAAACAUUUGUUCAAUAACGAUGACCUAUUGCGAGGUUUUUCGUGACGUUGGGUUUAUUUCUCAUGUCUAAUGACAUUUUAAGAGACUAAUAACGAUGUCGCUAUAAGAAGUUUUUCGCGAUGUCUGGGGCGAUUCUAAAUCCAAGUAAGAUGUCAAGGGCAAUAUAUGUCUAUGUAGGCAGCACGGGCAUUCCAUGUCUGGGGAUAGGCGAGAUAGGCCAAAUUCUGCACGCAUCGGACAGGCGACGUUGGCCAACGACAUGCCACAUCAGUCCAUGCCAACACGCAUCGGAAGCGGCAUGUGCGUAUCGGUCAAGCAACGUCGGCCAACGGCUGAUAGCAUCAGCCAAGGCCUGCAUGCAUCAGACGUUUCAUGUGCGCAUCAUGCAGGAAACGUCGGUCAACGGCAAAACCUUGGGCAUGAGCCUGGGCGGAGCAGCCGUUAGUGCAGAUUUUGGUGGUAGUAGCAAAUAUUCAAAUGAGAACUUUGAAGGGUGAAAAGGGGAAAGGUUCAAUGUGAAUGGCACUAGCACAUGGGUUAGUCGAUCCUAUGGGUCGAGGAAACCCAAAUAGAUAAUGCGUUUCGCGCGUACCCCGAGAGGGAAUCGGGUUAAGAUUUCUAAACCGGGACGUGACGGUUGACGACAACGUUAGGAAGUCGGCAGAAGUCAGCAGGAGCCUCAGGAAGAGUUGUCUUUUCUGUUUAACAGCAUGCCCACCAUGGAAUCGGCUCUACCGGAGGUAGGGUCCAACGGUUGGAAGAGCACCACACGUCGCGUGGUGUCCGGUGCGCUCCCGGCGACCCUUUCAAAUCCAGAGGACCGAAUGUUGUCCACGCUCGAUCGUACUCAUAACCGCAUUAGGUCUCCAAAGUGAACAACCUCUAGUUGAUGGAACAAUGUAGGCAAGGAAAGUCGACAAAAUGGAUCCGUAACUUCGGGAAAAGAAUUGGCUUUGAGGGUUUGGCAUGGGUGUCCCAGUUCCGAACCCACUGGCUAUCGGUGGACUGCUUGAGCGGAUCCCACUGAAAUAGCGGGUCGCCGUGUGCCGGCUGGGGGACGGACUGGGAACGGUUCUUUCGGGGGCCUUCCCUGGUAGUCAAACAACCAACUCAGAACUGGUAUAGACAAGGGGAAUUUGAGUAUUUAAUUUUAACAAAGCAUUGCGAUGGUCCCAACAAAUGUUUACGCAAAGUUAUUUUUGUCCGGUGCUCUAAAUGUCAAAGUGAAGAAAUUCAACCAUGCGGGGGUAAACGGCCGGAGUAACUAUGACUCUCUUACUUAAGGUAGCCAAAUGCCUCGUCAUCUUAUUAAUGAUGCGUAUGAAUGUAUUAACAAGAUUCCCACUGUCUGUGUCUAAUAUACAGCGAAACCACAGCCAAGGGAACAGGCUUGGCAGAAUCAGCGGGGAAAGAAGACCCUAUUGAGCUUGAGUCUAGUCCGACUUUGUGAAAUGACUUCAGAGGUGUAGUAUAAUUGGGAGUUGAAAGGCGAAAGUGAAAUACCAAUACUUUUAACGUUAUUUUACUUAUUCCGUGAAUCAGAAGCGGGGAACUACCCUUAUUUUUGCACCCAAGGCUCGCUUCGCGGGCCGAUACUGGGAGAAGACAUUGUCAGGUGGGGAGUUUAGCUGGGGUGACACAUCUGUUAGAAGAUAACGCAGGUGUCCUAAGAUGAGCUCAACGAGAAUAGAAAAAUCAGUGGAUUAGAAGGAUAAAAGCUCGUUCGAUUCUGAUUUCCCGUACGAAUACGAAUCGUUAAAGCGUGGCCUAACGAUCCAUUAGACCUUAGGAAUUCUAAGAUAGAGGUGUCAGAAAAGUUACCACAAGGAUAACUAGCUUGUGGCAGCCAAGCUGUAUAGUGAAGUUUAUUUUUGAUCAUUCGAUGUCGGCACUUCCUAUCAUUCUGAAGCGAAAUUUACCAAGUGUUGGAUUGUUCACCCACCAAUAGGGAACGUGAGCUGGGUUUAGACCAUCGUGAGACAAGUUAGUUUUAGCCUACUGAUGACAGUGUCGCAAUAGUAAUUUAACCUAGUAAGUGAGGAACCGUUGAUUCACAUAAUUGGUCAUCGCGCUUGGUUGAAAAGCCAGUGGCGCGAAGCUGCCAUGUGUUGGAUUAUGAAUGAACGUCUCUAAGUUAGAAUCCAGGCAAGAAGCGACGCAUGCGCCCACCAUUCGCUUGCCGACCUGCAGUAGGGGCCAUUAUACCCCAAGGGAUCGUUUUGUUUGCUAAGUUACCGCGACAGAAGCGGCGCGGUGACUGCCUCGAAGUACAAUUUCCAUUGAGCGGUGGGUAGAGUCUUUUGCAGAAGACAUAAAUAUGUGACGGGGUAUUGUAAGUGGAAGAGUGGCCUUGCUGCCACGAUCCACUGAGAUACAACCCUUUGUCACUCCGAUUCCAUUUCCCCACCUUCCCCCUCCCCAACCUCAAAUCCAAUCAUUUCUAACAUUUCAAAUGAGAGGUUCAUGUUAUGCUUGCAUCCUUAGACAGAAAAAACCACUAACUGUUGAAAUAUAAGUUCCGAGAAUAACAUUGUCGAUGAAAUUUACUACUUUGUUGUUACGUGUUGAACUAUACGUUCUAAGUCGAUCAAACACUUGUUCAAUAACGAUGACUUAUUGAGAAGUAUUUCGUGACGUUGGUUUCAUUUCUCAUGUAUAAUGAAAUGUUAAGGGAUUAAUAACGAUGUCGCUAUAAGAGGUAUUUCGCGAUGUCUGGGGUGAUUCUAAAUCCAAGUAAGAAUUCAAGGGCCAUAUGGGUCUAUGUAGGCAGCACAGGCAUUCCACGUCCGGGGCUAGGCGAGAUCAGCCAAAGCCUAUGCGUAUCGUACAAGCGACGUCGGCCAACGGCAGGCAGCAUCAGCCAAGCCCUUUACACAUUAGACGUGGCAUGUGCGCAUCAGGCAAGUGACAUCAUCCAAGGGCAGGCGGCAUCAGCCAAGGCCUGCAUGCAUUAGACGUGUCAUGUGCGCAUCUGGCAAGAAACGUCAUCCAACGGCAGGCGGCAUCAGUCAAGGCCAGCACGCAUCGGACGUGGCGUGUGCGCAUCGGGCAAGCAACGUCGGGCAACGGCAGGCAGCAUCUGUCAAGGCCGACACAUAUCAGACGUGGCCUGUGCGCAUCGGCAGGUCGACAUUGGCUGUGGCUUGCGCACAUCGGCCAGGCAUCAUCAGCGAUGGCCUGCACACAUUGAUCAACCGAGGUCGCACGUGGCCUGCCAAAAUAAACUGUGUCCUGCAGACAUCGAUCUGCCGACGUCAUACGUGGCCUUCCUACAUCGUUCAGUCGACGUCGGAUGUGGCCUUCUCCCAUUGUCCGUGGCCAGCACACAAUGAUCAGUCGAUGUCAGACGUGGCCAGCCAACAUCGUCCGUGGCCUGCACACAUCAAUCUGCCGACGUCGGACGUGGCCUGCCAGCAUCGUCUGUGUCCUGCACUCACCGGUUUGCGAACGUAGGACGUGGCCAGACCGCAAUGCCCGUGACGUGCACACAUCGGUCAGUCGAUGCUGGACGUGGCCUGCCCGCAUUGUCUGUGGUUUGUACUCGUUAGACGAGCGACAUCGCACGCGACGACAUUGUCGAGGUCUAGUCGAUAACAUGCGGAUGCCCUUGCCAUACGAAAAUGAAAAGAGUGUGAAACGCCCUUCAUACAUAACAACAUACUCAUCUAUUUUACAUCAUAUAUUCUCUAUGUUUCCAUCUCACGUGGUUCGUUUGUACCAAACUUCUUUACUUUUACGAUGUGUACGAUGUUGAAACGUUUUUUAUUUGUACAAAUAUAUACUCUAUCAUUAGUUUCACAAAUUGAGAAGUGUUUUCGAGCAUUUUCAUAUCUUCCAACUUUUAUUCAUCUUUUUUAAUUUAUUUUGAUGGUUUCUUAUUUUUUACGUCACAUUUCAAAAAUUAAAAUUUAUAAAAUUGUUGGAUUUGAGGUUACUAUAAUUAUUAGUGAAUUUUCGGUGUUAAUUUUAUAUUUUUUCAUGUUUUUCCUAUUUUUAUUAAUUUAUUACUAAUUUUUCAGAAUAUUUUGGAAAAAUUUAAAAUAAAAAGAAUUGUUUAAAACUAUUUCUUUUUAUAUAUAAAAGUCAUUUGUGGAAGCUAAUGUGUGCAUAUUUGGGUUGUACAUGUUCAUUAUGAUUCUCUGGAAAAAUGAUGUCUACUCCUGUCACAUGGUUUUUUUUAAUUUUAAGCUUAUAUAAGGGGGGUUGAGGUGUUGGAGGCAGACUGAGGUGAUGACAGGCAUACGUCAUGGACGUCCUGUGGGCUUAGUAGGCAUGCUGCGUGGGCGAUUGAUGGCAUGCAUGGCUUGAGUGUGCUACGCCGUUGGGCGCCUACAAAAAUACGUCGGCGACGUCUGUGAGGUGACCGUAUGACGCCUAGGGCAUUUAAAUCGACCGGUUUAUACUCGUUUGGUGUGGAAACGGCAGUGAUUUCGGACGAGUAGCGAGUUCUAGAGCUCCUGUUAUGGCUAACUCUAGGCGCUGCAUGCAUGGGGCACGUAAGUCCAUGUAUGACCAGACACUACCGAUAGGCCAGCUAGGGCGGUGUUCGUGAAAGAACUUCGGUCUGCCUCCAACACCUUUGCAGUGAUUAAUUUCUCACCCCCGACUAAGGCGUUCAACGACGGGGAUUGGAUUAGCUUUGCAAUGAAGACAUCAACGUCGACAGACGACAUCUAAUGUCGAGCGUCGGGGCAUUUGUUGGUAGUGCAUCGACGAAAUAAUUCACGUAUGGUACAUAAGUGGUAUUCGAGUUGUGUGGUUAGGUUGGAUCCUUGCUUCAAGCAGUGACAUCCUAAGUCGCAUUCCAUCUCGGUGGCGGAUCAAGCGCAAUCUAGGCUUGUCGGAUGUCGGUCUCCUGUGUUGCAUACCUUAUGCGUAGGCCUUACUCACGUGCAAUCAGUCGCUAUUUUGCCCAUCGCAUUCCAUGUGUGGGGUCAACCCAAAAGCCGCUCUCGCAUCCCACUCCUUCCUUACUUCGUCGUGCGAUGGCGUGGUAUGAGAGCGGCGGCUCAAAUUCUCAAAUUAUAUAGAUGCAGUGGGCAUGGGGCCUUCACCGGAUCCUAUCUACCCAAAACAAAUGCUCCUUGCGAAUGACUGUCGCGCUCGAUUAGGACCCGACUGUGCCCGAACGGGCGCUCCAGGCUCAUGCGGCGUGUGUGGUCAUUGAUUAAUGCUACUUGGUUGAUCCUGCCAGUAGUCAUAUGCUUGUCUCAAAGAUUAAGCCAUGCAUGUGUAAGUAUAAACAAAUUCAAACUGUGAAACUACGAAUGGCUCAUUCAAUCAGUUAUAGUUUGUUUGAUGGUAUCUACUACUCGGAUAACCAUAAUAAUUCUUGAGCUAAUACGUAGAACAAACCACGACAUGUGGAAGGGAUGCAUUCAUUAGAUAAAAGGUCGAUGUGGGCUCUGCCAAUUAUUGCGAUGAUUCGUGAUAACUCGACGGAUCGUAUGGCUAUCGUGCCGGCGAUGCGUCAUUCACAUUUCUACCCUAUCAACCUGAAAUCCAAUUAUUUCUAACUUUUGAAAUAUGAAGUUUAUCGAUUUCUUGCAUCCUUGGAAGGAAAAAAACCACUAAGUGUUGAAAUAUAAGUACGAAGAAUAACAUGGUGCGUGAAAUUUACUAGUUUGCCGCUAAGUGUUGAACUAUACGUUCUAUGCCGAUCAAACACUUGAUCAAUAAAGAUGCCCCAUUGAGAGGUUUUUUGUGACAUUGGAUUCAUUACUCAUGCCUAAUGACAUGUUAAGGGAUUAAUAACGUUGUCGCUAUAAAAGGUUUUUUGGGAUGUCAGAGGCAAUUCUAAAGCCAAGUAAGAUGUCAAAGGCCAUAUGGGUCUAUAUAGGCAGCACGGGCAUUCCACAUCCGGGGACAGGCGGCAUCAGCCAAGGCCUGUAUGCAUCGGACAAGAGACAUCGGCCAACGGUAGGCAACAUUAGCCAAGGCCUGCACGUACGAACCUGCCAUGUGCGCAUCGGGCAAGCGACGACGGCCAACGGCAGGUGGCAUCAGCCAAGGCCUGCACACAUCGGAUGUGGCAUGUACGCAUCGGGCAAACAAUGUCGGCCAAUGGCAGGUGGCAUCACCAAAGGCCUACAUGCAUCGGAUGUCGCAUGUGCGGAUCGGGAAAGCAAUGUCAGCCAACGACAAGUAGAAUCAGCGAAGGCCUGCACGCAUUAGACGUGGCCUAUGCACUUUGGCAGAGCAACAUUGGCCAUGGCCUACUCGCAUCAACCAGGCGUCAUCGAUCAUGGCUUGAGCGCAUCGGCAAGGCGACAUAGGCCGUGGCAUGCCCACAUCGGUUGUGGCCUACGUGCAUCAGCCAGACGACAUAGGCCGUUGUCUGCCCACAUAGGUCGUGGCCUACGCGCAUAAGUUAGGUGAGAUAGGGCAUGGCAUUUGCGCAUCAGCCAAUCGAUAUAGACCGUAGACUGCCCGCAUCGGUGAUCGCUUGUGCACAUCGAUCAAUCGACGUCCAACGUGGCCUGCUUGUAUCAUCCGUGGCCUACACACAACGGUCAGCCGAUGUCGGACGUGGCCUGCCAUCAUCGUCCGUGUCUUGCACACAUUCGUUAGCCGACGUCGGACGUGGCCUGCCUGUAUCAUCCAUGACCUGCACACACUGGUCUACCAACGUCGAAUGUGGCCUACACCUAUCGCCCGUGGCCUGCACAUAUCGGUUAGCCGACGUCGGACGUGUCCUGCCCGCAUCGUCUGUGGCAUGCACACAACGGUCAACCAAAGUUGGAUGUGGCCUGCCAGCUUCGUCCGUGGCUUUGCACACAUCGGUCAGCCGAUGUUGGAUGUGGCUUGCCAUCAUCAUCCGUGUCCUACACUGUCAUGACCCGGGCUAGCCCCUACACGUAACACGAUGAACUUCACCUUGAAGGGGUCUCAUACAAGCCCUUAACAUACAUCAUUGCAUAAAAUGCACAAAAUUAAAACUUUUUCUUCAACAAUCGAAGUCACUUUUAUAAAAAUAGAAAGGAGUCUACACACUGUCUCAUUGGCCAUCUAGUAUAAUCACACACUUAAACAUAUAGGGAUACAACCCUAACAAUAAUUUUAUAAUAAAACUACCAAAAGAAACUACUAAGAAAACUGCUACAUAAGAUGUUCGUACCCGAACUUCAGGACUCAUCAACUAGCUUGGAGGAUCACCUAUUCCAAGCUUGAACCAAGGGUAGCAUCCCCAUAAGCCAACCCCCUACAUUUGUAGAAAACAUAGAAAUAUGGGUUAGCACAAGAAUGUACUAAGUAUGGUAGCUAUGCAUAAAAACAUUUAAAACAUGAUAGGAAGGGGACAUUUUAGUUGGAACCAUGCUAUGCACUUUUGAACAUUAUUCUUAAAAGAGUUGGAGAACAUAAGUCAUAAACAACUGACAUAUAGUUCAUCAAAGCACUGGAUAACAACAUUACCAUAUGAAUAGUCUCCAAACAUAGUCAUAAUGCACAUACCAUCUAUUACAAGACAUAAUACACAUGCAUAGUCACACAUCAAGAUCAUAACAUCAUAAUAGAACAACAACAUAAGUAACCCUAAGCUCUACUUGUGCAAUGCAUAGAUAGGGUCCAUAGUCCUACCUAUACGAAGUAUCACUUCUAGGCCACCAUGAUCAUAUUUAACAUAAGUUCAUACUAACAUAUAAGCAACCCAAAGUCAUACCAGUGCAAUGCAAAGGUAAUAUCCCAUAACCCUACCAAAUGCUAAGUAUCACAUUUAGAUCACCAACAACAUACAUAUUUUCCUUUUGAUUCAUUCAGAGCCAACAUACACAAGUAAGGAGACAUUCAUAAUCAUAACUUGUAAUAAGUAAGGUCAACCUUCACAUUCAUUCAUAUCACACAUACAUAAUUCAUAAGUCUUCAUUACAUAAGAGGACCUAACCAUAACCCCUCUUAAGUUCCACUUGUGCAAUGUAUGGGUGAAGUCCCAUACCAUCACUCAUACUAAGUAGUACUUCUUAAGAAGUCAUGAUUAGAGUCCAUGUUCUUAUCUUAGCUCGUAUUCGUAUCAUUUAGGGAUAAUAGCCUUAACCGACAUAGACCAUGUGAGCUACAUGGAAUCCGGUGUUCUACUCCCACACCAAAAAGAGAGGUCCUACUUGCCUAAGGUAGAACAUACAUAAUAGCUUCUAAAAAAAUCUAAGUAUGGAACCACGACCUUGACCUACGGGUCAUCACUCAACCUACUGGUCGUAAAUGGCCAUACGUAGGUCAGAAGGGACGGAUUUUUGAGGACUGUUUUGGGGGUUGUUUGCAAUGUGUUGAAGGCUUAGUUUGGCCUACCCGCAUCAUCCGUGGCUUGCACACAAUAGUCAACCGACGUCGGCCGUGGCCUACCAGCAUUGUCCGUGGCCUGCACACAACGGUCAGCAGACGUCGCACGUGGCCUACCAAAAUCAACCGUGUCCAGCACACACCGGUCUGCCAACGUCGAACGUGUCCUGCCUAUAUCAAUCAGCCGAUGUCGGAUGUGGCCUUCCCCCAUUGUCCGUGGCCAGCACACAAUGAUCAACCGACGUCGGACGUGGCCUGCCAACAUCUUUUGUGGCCUGCACACAUUGGUCUGCCAACGUCGGACGUGGCCUGCCAGCGUCGUCGGUGUCCUGCACACACAGGUUUGCGCAAUGGCACAACAACAACAACAUUAACAUCAUAGACACCUCCCUUUCUCAAGGGGGUCACAACAUGUACAUAAUAUCCAACUCAUGCAUAAUUCACAUAUAUUACAUUUAAGGAUCUUAGACCAUAUAAAUCACAUAUCUAACAUUCAUUCCAUAGACAUGGAUACAUUCAUCAUUCAAGUAGGUCAUUCAUAUCAUGUAGAGAAUCAUAUACUCAUAUAGGGGGAUAUGUGGGUAGGGUCCUUCCACAAUAGCACUACAUACAUUUCAACAUACCAACACUACCAUGAUCAUAACAUAUCUUUCGUAUUCAUAACGUAUCAUAAUUAUUCAUAUCUAGGGUUGUAGGGAAGAGGGUCCUUAUGUCAACACUACAAUUCAUAGUGACAAGUAAGCACCUCCACCAUAAGUGGAUCAAUCCAUUCAUACAAGAGAUAUAUGAUAAGUAAACUACUCCACUACAAGUGGGUCAACAAAUCAUAUAAUAUAACUUAAUCAUAACAUACCUUCAUAGAUUGUCCUUCAAAGUCAAGAGUCAAGAUCAAGUCUAUCCUCUUAGAUUUGGAACUUUAGGUAGAAGAACAUCAUAAACCAACAAUAUAACCAAUAUGAUCAUAAUCAAGUUAGUCUAGGUAUAAAAGAUUCAUCAUGAUCAAUUCAUGUCUAGGUGAUCUAAUCCAAGGCAAUUAAACAUGAAGAUCAUCAAUCCUAGAAGAUCACUUCUAACCCCUCAAUUUGCCUCUUUAUGAGAUAACCUAGCUCAUGUCAAUUUUAUCUUAGAUUCAUAGGUUAAUCAAGAAUACAA